GAUGAACGCUAGCGGCAGGCCUAAUACAUGCAAGUCGAGCGGCAAGUUGAGAAGCAAUUCGAGACCUAGAGCGGCGUACGGGUGCGUAACGCGUAUGCAACCUACCUCAUACAGGGGGAUAGCCCGGAGAAAUCUGGAUUAAUACCCCAUAGUACAUAUAGAGGGCAUCUGAAAUAUGUUAAAGAUUCAUCGGUAUGAGAUGGGCAUGCGUCUGAUUAGCUAGUUGGCGGUGUAACGGACCACCAAGGCGACGAUCAGUAGGGGUUCUGAGAGGAAGGUCCCCCACACUGGCACUGAGAUACGGGCCAGACUCCUACGGGAGGCAGCAGUAGGGAAUAUUGGGCAAUGGUCGGAAGACUGACCCAGCCAUGCCGCGUGCAGGAAGAAGGCCCUCUGGGUUGUAAACUGCUUUUAUCUGGGAAGAAAAGGCCCGUGCGCGGGACAUUGCCGGUACCAGAUGAACAAGCACCGGCUAACUCCGUGCCAGCAGCCGCAGUAAGAC
rnacentral:rRNA from 1 species